rnacentral:rRNA from 1 species
GAUCCUGGCUUAGGAUGAACGCUAGCUACAGGCUUAACACAUGCAAGUCGAGGGGCAGCAUGAGAUUAGCUUGCUAAUCUUGAUGGCGACCGGCGCACGGGUGAGUAACGCGUAUCCAACCUUCCCCCUACUCAGGCAUAGCCCGGUGAAAACCGGAUUAACUCCUGAUAGUUUCACUAGAUGGCAUCUGACGGUGAAUAAAGCUUUGCGGUAAGGGAUGGGGAUGCGUCUGAUUAGCUUGUUGGCGGGUAACGGCCCACCAAGGCGACGAUCAGUAGGGUUCUGAGAGGAAGGUCCCCCACAUUGGAACUGAGACACGGUCCAAACUCCUACGGGAGGCAGCAGUGAGGAAUAUUGGUCAAUGGGCGCGAGCCUGAACCAGCCAAGUAGCGUGCAGGAAGACGGCCCUAUGGGUUGUAAACUGCUUUUGUGCGGGAAUAAAGUCAGGGACGUGUCCCUGUUUGCAUGUACCGCAAGAAUAAGGACCGGCUAAUUCCGUGCCAGCCGCGGC